UACGUAGGGGGCGAGCGUUGUCCGGAGUUACUGGGCGUAAAGCGUGCGUAGGUGGUUUGUUAAGUCUGAUGUGAAAGCCCUGGGCUCAACCUGGGAAUUGCAUUGGAUACUGGCAGGCUAGAGUGCGGUAGAGGGUAGUGGAAUUCCCGGUGUAGCGGUGAAAUGCGUAGAGAUCGGGAGGAACACCAGUGGCGAAGGCGGCUACCUGGACCAGCACUGACACUGAGGCACGAAAGCGUGGGGAGCAAACAGG
rnacentral:rRNA from 1 species